rnacentral:piRNA from 1 species
UGGCUAUUCAGACCUCUGCUGACAAUUGA